rnacentral:tmRNA from 1 species
GGGGUCGAUCGGUUUCGACGGUGAUCUGUUCGCUGUAGGGAAGCGUGUCGAGAAUGCAGGGGUCCACUCGUUAACGUGCUCCUGUAAAAAAUAAGUGCUAAAUCUAACCGCACUGAGUUUGCUCUUGCUGCCUAAGCUUCGCGCUAGGAUUUAACCGGCAAGAUAUCACUCCGUCCACUCCAACUCGUUCUCGGAAGGAAUCUGGGCGUCGUUUAGAGAACUUGCUUGGUUCAUUGAGUUGCUGGAUGAAUCAAGGACUUUAACAGUAGCUAUGCCCGCUAUCAGUUGUCUGCGUCAUCGAUAGGGGCAGACAGAUAACCAAAUGGUCAGCAGACUACACACGUAGAAGACUAUGGGUGCGAUUAUCGGACCCGGGUUCAAUUCCCGGCGGCUCCAC